UUAAAGGAAUUGACGGGGCCCGCACAAGCGGCGGAGCAUGCGGAUUAAUUCGAUGCAACGCGAAGAACCUUACCAAGGCUUGACAUACACCGGUAACGCCCAGAGAUGGGUGCCCCUUUGUGGUCGGUGGACAGGUGGUGCAUGGUUGUCGUCAGCUCGUGUCGUGAGAUGUUGGGUUAAGUCCCGCAACGAGCGCAACCCUCGUCCUAUGUUGCCAGCGGGUCAUGCCGGGGACUCAUGGGAGACUGCCGGGGUCAACUCGGAGGAAGGUGGGGAUGACGUCAAAUCAUCAUGCCCCUUAUGUCUUGGGCUUCACGCAUGCUACAAUGGCCGGUACAAAGGGCUGCGAUACCGCGAGGUGGAGCGAAUCCCAGAAAGCCGGUCUCAGUUCGGAUUGGGGUCUGCAACUCGACCCCAUGAAGUCGGAGUCGCUAGUAAUCGCAGAUCAGCAACGCUGCGGUGAAUACGUUCCCGGGCCUU
rnacentral:rRNA from 1 species